GUGAUUGUUUCUGUUCCAGCUGCUGCUUUCUAUGAGUUUGGUUAUAAGUUUGUUUUGCAAUUGCAAUCUUUUUUUUUUUCUUUAAAAGAAAUAGAUUUUUAUCAUACUUCUAAUCAAUAAAUUAGCUGUUUUCUAUGAGCGACUAUCCAUUUUCAUAGGUUUAAAAAUUGCCAAAGUUGAUUCUAUAGCAAUCCUCUCACUCUUUUUGUUCAUAUUUGUGUACUACUAUUUUAAUAAUCUGGUAACCACUUUUAUUUCUACUGCUUGCAUUCUCAGGAGUCACUGUUUGACCUCUAUGCAUUGUAUCAUUAAUUGAUCUAUCCUGUUACAGCGAAAAAGUUUGGUGUUUAACCUUUUCAUGCUACUGUUGGUAGGCUAU
rnacentral:misc_RNA from 1 species